rnacentral:rRNA from 1 species
GAUGAACGCUGGCGGCGUGCUUAACACAUGCAAGUCGAACGGGAAACAUUUUAUUGAAGCUUCGGCAGAUUUAGCUUGUUUCUAGUGGCGGACGGGUGAGUAACGCGUGGGUAACCUGCCUCACACUGGGGGAUAACAGUCAGAAAUGGCUGCUAAUACCGCAUAAGCCCACGGAACCGCAUGGUUCAGAGGGAAAAGGAGCAAUUCGCUUUGGGAUGGACUCGCGUCCGAUUAGCUAGUUGGUGAGGUAACGGCUCACCAAGGCGACGAUCCGUAGCUGGUUUGAGAGGACGACCAGCCACACUGGGACUGAGACACGGCCCAG